UGCAGUUUGAUCUCUGACUGCUGUGCUAGCAAUCAGUGAGACUCCCUGGGCAUAGGACCCUCCGAGCCAGGUGGGGGUUAUAAUCUCGUGGUGCGCCGUUUUUUAAGCCCGUCGGAAAAGCGCAGUAUUCCGGUUGGAGUGACCCGAUUUCCAGGUGCUGUCCGUCACCCCUUUCUUUGACUGGGAAAGGGAACUCCCUGACCCCUUGCCCUUCCCAAGUGAGGCAGUGCCUCGCCCUGCUUCGGCUCGCGCACGGUGCACGCACUCACUGACCUGCGCCCACUGUCUGGCACUCCCUAGUGAGAUGAACCCGGUACCUCAGAUGGAAAUGCAGAAAUCACCCGUCUUCUGCGUCGCUCAAGCUGGGAGCUGUAGACCGGAGCUGUUCCUACUCGGCCAUCUUGGCUCCUCCCCGCCAAGCCUGUCAGUCAGAAUUCCAUUGCAUGCCUGUUCUUGAACAACCAUGGUCAAGGAGACAAGAUUCCUGAUGACUGACUCACACUAAUCAAAACUCAGCCACUGGUCCUAGCAAACUUCAUGAGAUGAGAGUGGAGAGUGUCCCAUCUCAUCUUAAGCAUAUGACUGUCCCAUACCCAUACAAAAUCAGGUUCUUUGCACAAAGAACAAUAGAGGUGAAUGACCAAUGAGUAAUCAAAGAGAGAGUUUUUCAGAAUAUGACUGCAUUUGGAAAUAGGGACUUUAAAGAGGUGAUUAAGUUACAAUGAGGCCACUAGAGAAGACAAUUAUCCAUUUGGACUGAUGUGCUUAGAAGAAGAGCAUAUUGGUAAAAAGAGACACCAGAGGUACAACAGCACAGAGAAAGACCAUGUGAGGACAUAGUGAGAAGAUGGCCAUCCCAUCUGCAAGCCAAGGACAGAGGCCUCAGGAGAAACCAACCCUGAUGACACCUUGAUCUUGGACUUCACAGCCUCCAGAACUAACAUACUCAAGUGUCUCAGCUCAACAUUUGGAGAUGAGCCAUCCUCCUCUUAUUGUAAGAAAAGCUUGAAGGAGUAUUUUCACAGCGAUGGAACUGGAAGUUAAGGCAACUUCUAUCAGCAUCAAGAAAAGAAAAGAAGUAUUCACCACUUACGAAACAACAUCUCUCUUCUCAUCAAUAGUUUGAUUUACAGCAUCUACUGCAGAAGACCUCAAUAAUGCAUAAGAACAUCUGGAAGUACGGUAAUUUCAGCUAUCAGAGAUAAGAAUUGACACAGAACAGUUUCCUCACUGGAGAAAAUAAGCCUGGUUAUUUUUUGGCCUAUGUUGAAACAUCAUAAGUAGAAUGAAACAGCAUAAUUUUUUCCCCCUGGGGUUCAAGAGUUUAUUUCUUUUGAUACAACAAUAAAUCAACUGACGAAAUGGAAUUUCUUUGCAAUACAUAUGCAACAAGUUAGUUUGCAUGGACAAGUUGAGCUUCAGUUUAUAUAUAGACACUCUGGAACAUUUUAUUAUAAAGCAAUAGUGCUGGAAAGCCACUUAAAGGGGUAACUGCACCAGUAACUAUGAGAAGGAGAUAUAUGAUUAACCUAGUAGAACUUAAAAAGUGAUUUCUGCAGCUUUGAAAUCAUCUACACAUGAACUCAAGCAGCAAUACGUAUUGGCAUCUGGAAAUCUGCAGAUUUGGAUGCACAAACAAUUAGACAUAAGACACAGCAUAAUGAAGUAUUUGUUUUCAUAGAGGAUCAUAGAAAUUCAUAAACAGAGGAUGAAGAAACACAGAAGACAGAGGAAGGAUUUAGUUUUGGGAACAUGUGCUAAUGGCCAUCAAACAAUUCUGAAAUAACUGAAAGAGAACCUUUGAAACACCCUUUAGAUUAAGAGCCUGGCUUGUAAUCUGUAACAACAAACGGUAUUACAAUGAGAAAAAUAAAUGUCCUGUCAAGGCAUUCCUUCAAUGACAUCUUGUCACACAAGUCUAUAUCCAAGGCUGCCCACAAAGUGGAAAAAUGGGGAAAAUAGAGAAUUCAGCUCACUAUGAUUUCUGCAAUAUACAAUUAUGGGAAAUCAUGUUUGGAUUGACACUGCAGACAGAAAUGGCAUGCAUGAUUCCUGUUUGGACAGGAAUAGCUGUUGGGGAGGAAGCCAACCUUGAAUGACACUGAAGAGCAACAUAAUGAAGCAUGAAUUGACAGGCAUCCUUCACGUUGCUUCUGGCUUCCCGUGUAAAAAGCCAUAUCUGAGCGCAGCUCUUAUGGGGCCAGAUCCAGGGGAGGAGAAAGGAAGUGAGGCCCAGAAAAAAUACAUUGUCAUGGAGGAGUGAAACUGAAGACAAAACAAAAAGGACUUUCCACAACUAGGCCCCUGGCUUACACUGCAAUGGAAGAAGAGGAGCAGAAAUACUGCCAAAGAUCCUUAUGAUGGCAUUGCAUUUUAGACUGCUUUUCAACUGAUUAUGACAGUAUCAACAAAAGAAACUUUCAUUUGAGGGACAUGGAUGGAGCUGGAGGCCAUUAUCCUUAGCAAGGUAACACAAGAACAGAAAACGAAAUACUGCAUGUUCUCACUUAUAAAUGGGAACUAAAUGAUGAGAAUAUAUGGACACAUAGAGGGGAACAACACACACUGAAGCCUUUUAGAGGGUGAAUGGUGGGAAGAGGGAGAGGAUCAGAAAAAAUAACCAAUGGGUACUAGGCUUAAAACUGGGUGAUGGAGGCAGGGCGUGGUGGCUCACGCCUGUAAUCCCAACACUUUGGGAGGCUGAGGCGGGCAGAUCACCAGGUCAGGAGAUGGAGAUCAUCCUGGUGAACACGGUGAAACCCCAUCUCUACUAAAAAUACAAAAAAAUUAGCUGGGCGUGGCGGCCGGCGCCUGUAAUCCCAGCUACUCGGAAGGCUGAGGCAGGAGAAUGGCGAGAACCCGGGAGGCGGAGCUUGCAGUGAGCUGAGAUCGCGCCACUGCACUCCAGACUGGGCGAUAGAGCAAGACUCCCUAUCAAAAACAAAACAAAACAAAACAAAACAAAACAAAACAAAACUGGAUGAUGAAAUAAUCUGCACAGCAAACUCCCACAACACACGUUUACCUAUAUAACAACUUGCAGUUGUACCCCUGAACUUAAAAGAAUAAUCGGCCAGGCGCAGUGGGUCACGCCUGUAAUCCCAGCACUUUGGGAGGCUGAUGUGGGUGGAUCACCUGAAGUAAGGAGUUCGAGACCAGCCUGGCCAACAUGACGAAACCCCGUCUCUACUAAAAAUAACAAAAAUUAUCUGGGCAUGUUGGCACACGUGCCUGUAAUCCCAGCUACUGGGGGACUGAGGCAGGAGGAUCACUUGAACCUGGGAGGAGGAGGUUGCAGCGAGCCGAGAUCGCACCACUGCACUCCAGCCGGUGCAACAGAGUGAGACUUCAUCUCAAAUAAAUAAAUAAAUAAAAGAUUAAUAAACAAAAACAAAAAAACACAAAAAAUUCUAUACCUCAAUUUAUAAAAUUCUAUAACUGUCUAUUAACUACUAAUAAAAAUGUGUGAUAAAGGC
rnacentral:lncRNA from 1 species